UCAAACUUGGUCAUUUAGAGGAAGUAAAAGUCGUAACAAGGUUUCCGUAGGUGAACCUGCGGAAGGAUCAUUCAUAAUAAAAAUGGUUUUUAUGGCACUUUUAAAACAAUCCAUAUCCACCUUCUGUGCAAUGUUUUUUUUUUUUCAUUAAUCAACACUUUUUUUUUUUAAUUUCUUGUCUGAAAUAUUUUAUGAAUUUACUUAAUUCAAAAAUAUAACUUUCAACAACGGAUCUCUUGGCUCUCGCAUCGAUGAAGAACGCAGC
rnacentral:misc_RNA from 1 species